CCUACGGGAGGCAGCAGUGGGGAAUAUUGCACAAUGGGCGCAAGCCUGAUGCAGCCAUGCCGCGUGUGUGAAGAAGGCCUUCGGGUUGUAAAGCACUUUCAGCGGGGAGGAAGGCGUUAAGGUUAAUAACCUUGGCGAUUGACGUUACCCGCAGAAGAAGCACCGGCUAACUCCGUGCCAGCAGCCGCGGUAAUACGGAGGGUGCAAGCGUUAAUCGGAAUUACUGGGCGUAAAGCGCACGCAGGCGGUCUGUCAAGUCGGAUAUGAAAGCCCCGGGCUCAACCUGGGAACUGCAUUCGAAACUGGCAGGCUAGAGUCUUGUAGAGGGGGGUAGAAUUCCAGGUGUAGCGGUGAAAUGCGUAGAGAUCUGGAGGAAUACCGGUGGCGAAGGCGGCCCCCUGGACAAAGACUGACGCUCAGGUGCGAAAGCGUGGGGAGCAAACAGGAUUAGAUACCCGGGUAGUC
rnacentral:rRNA from 1 species